CCAUUCUUAGCCGUUGAUCCUGACACGUUUUAAAAAGUUGAAUAGUCUUUUCAAGAAGAAGAAUUAGUCAGAGCGACUUCGUUGUAGGUGCAUUUUAUAUACAUGCACAUUAAUAUAUAAUCAGCUAUUGUUUAGUGUAUUGUGGGCACAGGAUCCCGAUUCGCGAUUGUACAUCUUGAGUACGUCAUUUGAGUCCAGCACAAAACCUUGCUGCGCAAAGCACUUACGCUUAAAUUCUGAAGACUUAAGACUUUACUGUAGUUUUUCAAGAAGAUGACCCCCGUCAUGUUUGUCAUUCCUGCGGGCGAUUUAAUCAUGAAUAUCAGUACUGCUGUAACCCAGGUUACUGUCGACAGGCCUAGAAAUCAUGGAAAGGAAUCGCUCUUGUUUAGUUUGUCAAGACACCAACCAAAGGCCGCAGUUUCUUGAUCAAAUGGGCUUGGGUAACUGAUGCUGUAAAUGUCCAAAGGAGGAGGAUAAUGUUGUGGGGCCAGUGAGUCAGCCAAAGCUGGGAAGCACUUCAGGAGGAACGCAGGUAGAAGAGUGGUUGUAAUGGACAGUUUCCAAACAUACACAGGUCAUGUGAUCAGUUCCAAAAAGGAUCUUUUUAUGUGUUUUUGAUUUGAGGAAAUUAGGUGAUCCUCUGGGUAAAAUUAUCGCAAGUUCUCUUUGGGGUUGACAUGAAGAGCUAGAAUUUUCUUGGUGAUUUGGAUUAAAGAAGUUUAAUAAAUGAAUUGACAAAUCACAAUGAUUUUUUGUAUACUUUUGGAACAGCACUUUUAACAGUAUUUCAUCCAACUUAGUGCUAAAAAAAGCACAAUAAAAAAUAAAACACCCACUUCAUAGCAUCUCUUUUGUUCUGUUUUGUGAAAAGUGUAAUAUAUAAUGGAGAUGAAGAAACAUGGUGCUGUUUUGUUUUCUUACUGUAAAGGGUUUUUUUUUUUUUUUAUGAAAUGAUUUUUAACCAUUCAAACAAAAAAAUUAUUUGGAGCAGAAUGUUAAGAAAUAAGCGGUGCUCUUGUUAGUCAUCUUGGAGUUUUGUAUAGAAGUUUGGUUUUUGUCCUUGUGGUUCUUGGAAGUUUUGCAAAUGCAAGUACAUGCUUUAUCAGUCACUUACAUGCACAUUCAUGCCAUGUAUUAUCUAUCUCUUGCUCCCUUGGUUUACAUGUUAAGCUCUAAAAACAAGUUCUCUGAUUUUUCUGAAUAGUAAAUGUUAAAUAUUUCAGACUUGCAUUUCUGAAAUGACGGUGUGUGUGGUGGUAAAAUGUAACAAUGCACCACAGGUUUUGUGCGAGUGACUGCCAUAAAGAUGGGUAGACAGUGUGGUGGAGUCAAAGUAGUGGAUGCCAUGCAGAAAGGUUAAUUCAGUCUUGACCUCUGACCUGUUGUGACUGUGAUUGGAUGUUAACACUUCUGAAGUACCCUGGAAUGAAGCUCAUAGUUUGAAUGUUUAACCCUUAUAUCAUCAGAGUUUUGUUCACUUUGCAUUACCAGUGGUCAGUUUUCCUUUCUGCCUGUAGUAAGUGCAAGUAAUGACAGCCUGUACUUAAAAGCUCACUAAUCUGAAUCUGGAGGGGCCAUCUUAAACUUCAAAAACAUGUUCCACUUUAUGGUUUUGUAUGCUUGAAGCAGGUUGUCAACCAGCUGGAUGUAGUUUGUUUUUUUUGUAGUUGCCAAAAAAAAUUCUGAAUUACAUCCCCACUAGCAGAUAUUUGAAUUUCUUGUCACUUGUCAUUAAUUUUGUCCAAUUUGUGGAAAAACAAAAAUGCCUUCCUUGGUGUUGGCAUUAGUUUUUCAGAUAUCAUUAUCCUACCUUUUGUUGUUCAUCCCUUUCACAGUCGAAGAUCUACAUGAAGAGGAAGCAAAAACAUCUUGUUGGGCUGACAAGUAGUUUAUGUGCCACUCUUUUCUGUAUUUACGGAGAAGCAAUUUCUUUUAAAUGUAAUGAGACUCUUUAUGGUGACUUUCCUAUUUUCAAGUGAAACAACAGGGUUUGAUAGAGGUGAGCUGCAUUUCUAGUAGCAGUACAACUGCUUUUGAAUCAACAUACAACUUGAAUUUCUUAUGCUGUAUACGUAGGUAUACUUUUAUAAUAAGAGGAAAUUGUAAAACAGUUGUGAAUUGCAAUA